rnacentral:piRNA from 1 species
CCUUCUGUGCCUGGCUUAUU